AAAUCGCCGACAAUACCGCGUACGCUCCUCUGCUUGAGGGCAGAGGAGCAAAGUCCUUUCCUUCUCACUCGUGAGAGGAGGGACGCGUGCUGAUGAGCCUGCGGCUGAUUAGCUGGCUGGGUGGGGUAAAGGCCUACCAGGGCGAUGAUCAGUAGCUGGUCUGAGAGGACGAGCAGCCACACUGGGAUUGAGAACGGCCAG
rnacentral:rRNA from 1 species